rnacentral:lncRNA from 1 species
AUGGCUGAGUUAAACAGCUUCCUCGUGAGAUUGAUGUGUGUGUUCUACCUUCAGUCUGUGUGUGUGUGUUCUACCUUCAGUCUGUGUGUGUGUGUGUUCUACCUUCAGUCUGUGUGUGUGUGUGUUCUACCUUCAGUCUGUGUGUGUGUGUGUUCUACCUUCAGUCUGUGUGUGUUCUACCUUCAGUCUGUGUGUGUGUGUGUGUUCUACCUUCCAGUCUGUGUUGUGUGGUGUUCUACCUUCAGUCUGUGUGUGUGUGUUCUACCUUCAGUCUGUGUGUGUGUGUGUGUGUGUUCUACCUUCAGUCUGUGUGUGUGUGUGUGUGUACCUUCAGUCUGUGUGUGUGUGUGUUCUACCUUCAGUCUGUGUGUGUGGUGUGUUCUACCUUCAGUCUGUGUGUGUGUGUGUGUGUUCUACCUUCAGUCUGUGUGUGUGUGUGUGUGUUCUACUUCAGUCUGUGUGUGUGUGUGUGUUCUACCUUCAGUCUGUGUGUGGUGUGUGUGUUCUACCUUCAGUCUGUGUGUGUGUGUGUGUGUGUUCUACCUUCAGUCUGUGUGUGUGUGUGUUCUACCUUCAGUCUGUGUGUGUGUGUUGUGUGUUCUACCUUCAGUUGUGUGUGGUUUCUACCUUCAGGCUGUGUGUGUUUCUACCUUCAGUCUGUGUGUGUGUUCUACCUUCAGUCUGUGUGUGUGUUUCUACCUUCAGUCUGUGUGUGUGUUCUACCUUCAGUCUGUGUGUGUGUUCUACCUUCAGUCUGUGUGUGUGUUCUACCUUCAGUCUGUGUGUGUGUUCUACCUUCAGUCUGUGUGUGUGUUCUACCUUCAGUCUGUGUGUGUGUUCUACCUUCAGUCUGUGUGUGUGUUCUACCUUCAGUCUGUGUGUGUGUUCUACCUUUCAGUCUGUGUGUGUGUUCUACCUUCAGUCUGUGUGUGUGUUCUACCUUCAGUCUGUGUGUGUGUUCUACCUUCAGUCUGUGUGUGUGUUUCUACCUUCAUUGGGUUCUGUGUGUUGUGUUCUACCUUCAGUCUGUGUGUGUGUUCUACCUUCAGUCUGUGUGUGUGUUCUACCUUCAGUCUGUGUGUGUGUGUUCUACCUUCAGUCUGUGUGUGUGUCUACCUUCAGUCUGUGUGUUGUGUUCUACUUCAGUCUGUGUGUUGUGUUCUUAACCUUCAGUCUGUGUGUGUGUGUUCUACCUUCAGUCUGUGUGUGUGUGUUCUACCUUCAGUCUGUGUGUGUGUGUUCUACCUUCAGUCUGUGUGUGUGUGGUUCUACCUUCAGUCUGUGUGUGGUGUGUUCUACCUUCAGUCUGUGUGUGUGUGU